rnacentral:rRNA from 2 species
UACGUAGGUGGCAAGCGUUGUCCGGAUUUAUUGGGUUUAAAGGGUGCGUAGGCGGCUCCUUAAGUCAGUGCUGAAAUACUCUAGCUUAACUAGAGGGGUGGCAUUGAUACUGAGGAGCUUGAGUGGAGUCGAGGUAGGCGGAAUUGACGGUGUAGCGGUGAAAUGCUUAGAUAUCGUCAAGAACACCGAUAGUGUAGACAGCUUACUAGGCUUCAACUGACGCUGAGGCACGAAAGUGUGGGGAUCAAACAGG